rnacentral:rRNA from 1 species
CCAAAAACAUAGCUUCUUGAAAUUAUAAGAAAUAACGUCUGCCCAGUGACCAAAGUUAAACGGCCGCGUUUAGUGCUAAGGUAGCAUAAUAAUUUGCCUUUUUAUUGGAGGCUAGUAUGAAUGGAUUAACGAAGCUUAACUGUUUCUAAUUAUAAAAGUAAAACUGAGUUAAGGGUGAAAACCCCCUUAUUUAGGUGCAGGACGAAAAGACCCUAUAGAGUUUGCAGUAAAUUAACAUUACUAUUUAACUAUGUUAAAUACUUUUAUUGGGGCAAUAAAAGAACAAAAUAAACUCUUUUAAAAUAAAAAUUUAAAAUCUUAACAAUUAAGAUCCUUAAAAAGAAUAAAGAAAAACUACCUUAGGGAUAACAGCGUUAUCCUUCCAGAGAGGGCUAAUCGAAGGAAGGGUUUGCGACCUCGAUGUUGGACUAAGGUACCAAUUAAGUGCAGAAGCUUAAAAAGUAAGCCUGUUCGGCUUUUAAUACCUUACAUGAUUUG